UUGGAAGCCGAGGCAACUUCACGGGCAAUUCGAUUAGCAAAAUUCGUCAAUACACCGUUGUAUGUUGUUCAUGUGAUGAGUACUGAUGCAAUGUAAGAGAUUGCCAAGGCUAAAAGAGAAGGUCAGAGAGUCAUCGGGGAACCUGUGGUAUCUGGGCUAGUCCUUGAUGAUUCUUGGCUUUGGGAUCCUGACUUUGCAACUGCUUCAAAGUAUGUGAUGAGUCCUCCAAUCCGGGAAGCAGGGCAUAAUAAAGCACUUCAAGCUGCUCUUUCAUCAGGAAUAUUACAGCUG